rnacentral:rRNA from 1 species
GACGAACGCUGGCGGCGUGCCUAACACAUGCAAGUCGAGCGGGGAGAGAUUUUCGGAUUUCUCUUUAGCGGUGGACGGGUGAGUAACACGUGGGUAACCUGCCUCAAAGAGGGGGAUAGCCUUCCGAAAGGAAGAUUAAUACCGCAUAAUACCAGGAAGCUGCAUGGCAUUCUGAUUAAAGGAGCAAUCCGCUUUGAGAUGGACCCGCGGCGCAUUAGCUAGUUGGUGGGGUAACGGCCUACCAAGGCGACGAUCAGUAACCGGCCUGAGAGGGUGGACGGUCACACUGGAGCUGAGAAACGGUCCAGACUCCUACGGGAGGCAGCAGUUGGGAAUAUUGCACAAUGGGGGAAACCCUGAUACAGCAAUGCCGCGUGAAGGAUGAAGGUUUUCGGAUCGUAAACUUCUAUCGAUGGGGAAGAAAAAAAUGACGGUACCCAAGUAAGAAGCCCCGGCUAACUAUGUGCCAGCAGCCGCCGUAAAAC